GGAGAAGUGGCAGUCUCCUGGGGCGUGCUGCUGUCUUCGAGCUCUCAGCGGUACAGCAAAUGAUACCUUCCCACAGGAAGUGUGGGGGCCCAGGGCAGGCCACCCCAACACACACCAUUUUGACAUAUUGAUUACUUUGAAUUAAAGCAACUGGAGAAACAGUAAAAGCAGAAGGGAUACUCUGAUCCUCCUCUGUCCCUGCCUGAAAUCAGGAAAUAAAUCUACCAUUUGGAAGGUACCAUCCCAGCACCUGGAGUUUUACCUUAUCACCGGAGUUAGGGAAUUUAUAGCUAAGAAGGCUGCAAUAAGCAAAUGUUACAUUUUCACCAAUCUACUCAAAUGCUAUAGAGAAUUCCUUCCUAAUUCAAGCCCCCAAAUAAGAACCUUGAAGGGUAGAGGAAAAAAUUCUUCCUUGCCAACAGAAGAAACAAGCUAGGAAGGGUUGAGGAGCUUGCCCCGAAUCUCACAGCUUUGGUGGGAAAGAAACCUUUACCCAGGGCGAGGAGGCAGUGGCAUCUGGUGCUGGCCGUUUCCAUGGUGAGGGCAGAAGCUCAAGAAGGGCAGAGCCAAGCCAUGUAGAUGCAUCUGCUUCUGUUUGGAAGCGGCAUGUCAGUUGCUUACAUUUCAUUAUUCAAAGGCAGUCUCAUGGCCAGUCACUGGGACAUGCCAGGAAUCUCAGCAAGCCUGGAGAGGUCACAAAUAAUCACGAAGACAUGGGUGUUAUGUGGUUUGUUUUUGUUUGUUCUUUGGUGAUGUUAGAGUCACCGAAUCAUAAAGGGUACAAAAUGGUGCUGUUCUGAUCCUACCAUCUUUCUAUCUUUUUGAGAUGAGUAUUAUAGAAAGAGAAGCUUAUGCAAGUUUCUCAUUAACUACUUAUUUAGGGUACAAUUUGUAGAGGAAAGGCAAGAUGUAUAUUUGAUGCUUCUCUUUAAUUGCUUACUAUCAAAAUAAAGUUUUUUUCCUACUGUCUUUCAAAGUGACCCAUGAGUGCUUUGAAGUUGGAGAUUUAUCACUGUGAACUCAUGCAUUAACACAUUUCUGACAUUUCAAUCUGUAGAAGUUACCCUUUUUGAUGUUAUCUUUAUUAAAUGAUCACAUCAUUGACCAAUGGGCACCUAUCACAAUCUGAGUCUUUGACUAUGACCUUCAUGUUUUUGCACACUUUCUUUGAUUU